AACACACACACAAACAAUACCUCUUUGCUGAAACCAGUUAAUUUUGAGUGUCCACUUUGACACUUCCACCAAAUACUCUAUCGCAUGCCACAUUAUUUUCUUCUUACAGAGUGGUCCUGUCCUUCGUGACCCAUCUACCUGUUGCACUGCUCCAGCUACACUACAUGUUAUUAACACUUCCACGAUGAUUUACAAAGAUUAAUGAGGAAUUGGAAAUAUUUACUCAUGAAAAA